rnacentral:rRNA from 1 species
UACGAAGGGGGCUAGCGUUGCUCGGAAUCACUGGGCGUAAAGCGCACGUAGGCGGCUUUUUAAGUCAGGGGUGAAAUCCUGGAGCUCAACUCCAGAACUGCCUUUGAUACUGAGAAGCUUGAGUCCGGGAGAGGUGAGUGGAACUGCGAGUGUAGAGGUGAAAUUCGUAGAUAUUCGCAAGAACACCAGUGGCGAAGGCGGCUCACUGGCCCGGUACUGACGCUGAGGCACGAAAGCGUGGGUAGCAAACAGG